UUUCCGGUUGAUCCUGCCGGAGGUUACUGCUAUCGGGGUCCGACUAAGCCAUGCGAGUUGAAUGUCCGAAAGGGCAUAGCGCACUGCUCAGUAACACGUGGACAACCUGCCCUGAGGACUGGAAUAAUCCCGGGAAACUGGGGGUAAUUCCAGAUAUGUCAGAACUCCUGGAAUGGGUUCUGGCAGAAAGGCUCCGGCGCCUCAGGAUGGGUCUGCGGCCUAUCAGGGUAGUAGUGGGUGUAACGUACCUACUAGCCUACGACGGGUACGGGUUGUGAGAGCAAGAGCCCGGAGAUGGAUUCUGAGACAUGAAUCCAGGCCCUACGGGGUGCAGCAGGCGCGAAAACUUUACAAUGCGGGCAACCGCGAUAAGGGGACCUCGAGUGCUGGGUUACAAACCUGGCUGUUGGGCUGCCUAAAAAGCAGUCUAUAGCAAGGGCCGGGCAAGACCGGUGCCAGCCGCCGCGGUAGCACCGGCGGCUCGAGUGGUAACCGCUAUUAUUGGGUCUAAAGGGUCUGUAGCCGGCCGCCUAAGUCUCUUGGGAAAUCUGGCAUCUCAAGUGUCAGGCUGCCAGGGGAUACUGGUCGGCUUGGGACCGGGAGAGGUGAGAGGUACCUCGGGGGUAGGGGUGAAAUCUUGUAAUCCUCGAGGGACCACCAGUGGCGAAGGCGUCUCACCAGAACGGAUCCGACGGCAAGGGACGAAAGCUAGGGGCACGAACCGGAUUAGAUACCCGGGUAGUCCUAGCCGUAAACGAUACUCGCUAGGUGUCGGCCACGGUGCGACCGUGGUCGGUGCCGUAGGGAAGCCGUGAAGCGAGCCACCUGGGAAGUACGGCCGCAAGGCUGAAACUUAAAGGAAUUGGCGGGGGAGCACAA
rnacentral:rRNA from 1 species